UGUAUGUAGGGGGUGAAAAGCAGAAAGUCCAGGUAGCCAUUUAAUUAACUGUCUUAUGGCUUUGGGGUAGAAGCUGUUCAGGAGCCUUUCGGUCCCAGACUUAGCAUCCCCCGGUACCGCUUGCCGUGCGGUAAACCUGGUUCUCAAUGUUAGAAUGGAAAAUCAUGAAUCAAUGAUGUAUAUUUCUGUGCUUUUCUUUUAGAGCAGGUUGGUGUGCCGUGGAGACAACAACCAGAGUUAUGUCUGUGAAUCAGACCACUGCUGUGGAGAGUCUCAGUGCUGCAGCUACUACUAUGAACUCUGGUGGUUCUGGUUGGUGUGGACUCUCAUCAUCAUAUUAAUGUGCUGCUGUGUAUCUCAGCACCGGCGCUACAAGCAGAGUUUCCAGCAGCAGAGGAGACAGAAUGAGAUCAACCUCAUUGUAUACAGAGAGGCCCACAACAACACACAGCAUCUCCCCCUCUAUCUCAGAUUCCUGCCUGACUACAUGCUGCCAACCUAUGAGGAGGUAGUUGACAGCACUGCCACUCCUCCCCCUUCCUACAGUCCCCCUCCAGUUAGCCUCUCUGUCCACCCAGCACCCUGACUGCCCUCGUCCUUCCCCCAGACCACCACCACAUACCCAGACACAACCCCCACUGCGGCCCCCCGUGUCUACACCGGGGGAGCAUGGCAAUGGUUUCCCUGACAACAAUAACUCGGCAUUGGGCAGGUAACUGCGCUUUACAGGCGACUCGGCAAUCGAGAUGUGUGAUAACCAGGAACUCUGGGAGGGAGGAGGAAGACACAUGCUGGGAAGGGAGGAUGAAGAAAACAUCUGUGAUAGAUGCAGACCCCAGAUUCAGAUCCACACAGACACCAAUAUACACACAGACAUAGAGACUUGAAAAAGCGAGUUGAUCCCCCAAACCUGUGAGUGAGAGGUGUGUGUGUGUGCCUGUGAAUGUGUCCCUCCUUAGAAGAAAGUAGCACAAUGCUUGCAUCACAAUGUGCAUUCCUCUGUAAUGCAGCCGUGCCAUAUGUAGCCAUAUCUUAAGGUGGUGAUGCUCUGACUCUAAAAGCCUGGAGUCUCACUGCUGUGCCACACAAAGGCCAGUAGAUUAUAGAGUUCCUGUACAGGUCAAAAUAUGAAUUUAUGCCAUGUCGAACUGAAUAGAAACUAAAAGCGGGCUGGCACGGUUGAGAGCUUUGCUGGAGGUACAAAUUGGUUUCAUAGAACCGCUUUCAACACUGUAUACUUCCUCAUUGGUUAUGGGUCGAAUUCAGGCAUAACAGCGGCCUCUUGUGUUUUAUAUAUAUAUAUAUAUAUAAUCGUUGAUUUAUUCAGACAAGACAUAAAUGACUAAAUGAGAUACACAGUCUAACAUCAACAUAUGAUGUAGGAAUAUACACAACCGGAAUGAACCAAGCAAGAGAGAUGCGCCAAGAAGGAUUACAAGGUAUAUUCUUAUUUUUAAUUUUUAGAUUAGCAUGGAGCAUCAUCGUCUGACCUCAUGUUAGAGACACCACGUUUAUUGCACAAAAACUCACACACCCAAUGCAGUGCGGAGGUUAAUGUUUGAAACAGUGAAUAUGACCGGUUUAAUGUGUCUCGGUUAUUGUAAUGCGUCUUCAGAACUCCAUUUUACUAAGGAAUCACAAAGUCUUGUUACGUAGCCUUUCUGUAAUAUAUUAUAUGAUUGAAUAGCCUACGCUUUGAUUAAUACUGUGUAGCCUUAUUGGGAACUAUGUUUCACAUACCUAUAUAGAGUAGUAGAGCAGCUUCCAGAGGCAAUGAUUGUACUUCCGAUGUGGUUUUAUUUAUUAUUAUUAUUAUAUAUAUUUAUAUAUAACAAUAAUUCUCUAAAGAAAAGUAAAAUAACAUUGAAGUAAUAUAUAUAUAAAAACAUUCACUACACAUUAAUUGAGUUUCAAAAGUUAAAAUAAAUCAAAUAAGGU